GAGGUAUUCCCCGGAGAAUUCCCACGCAUGACUUUCUCUUUCACUUUUAAGGUUUAAAAACAAUGCAACUUCUAAUGGAUAGAAUAAAGCCUGAGGCUCAAGGUGUGAAGACGUUCUUUAUCCACCUGCUCACCUGUGCUGCUGAUCUUCAGAAGUUUCAUUGUCAGUUUUCUGAUCUUCAGUCCAACAUGAGCAGAGAUCAGAGAGUGAAGGAUCACAGAGUCCUGCAGCCUGAUGAGGAGGACGACCUCGACAUGAAGAUACUAUUGAUUCGUCGUCGAUUAUAUCCCUUCAAAUUGAUGAAACCACUGAAGACGACUCCCAGUCAGAAUUUGGUGAAGGAAGCAAGAGGAAAGGGCAGGAAUCCAACAGUCCUGAAGUGGCUCAGAGACAAUUCACAGUCUACAUACUUCUACAAUCUUUCAGAGAUCUUUGAUUUUUUGAAAGAAAAGAUUGAAGAGGAGGAGAAAAGGGACCACAGUAACACUGUGGACAUUAUAUUUCUGGCUCAUGGAGCCAUAGAAAAUGUGAUGAUUCCAGCCUGCUGUCUGUUGCCGUUGCCCUCCAUCACAGACGUGGUCCUGUAUUCUCCCUGGAACUGUGCCAUCUAUGCCAAUGUCUUGUACGCCCUGGCCACAGGAAGACUCAGACCCCACCACAGAGUUUUUGUCUUUAAGACAGACAAAAGCUGUAAAAUUCCUGCUCCUGACAAACUCCCCAACCAGCUGGAACUCCAUGAAGGAGGCUGGAGAACAGAUGAUCCCCAACAUCACAGUCAGUCCUCUGAGGCCCGGUGACAGAGUGUGGAAACGAUACCAAAGUCUGCAGGAAAAACACGGACCACCAGGAAGAAACCGCAUCGUGAUUCCCUUCUUCUUCCCAGAGACUAUUGGAAGCGUCCCGUUCUCUGUGGUCAGCCUCGCUCUGUCUCUGGUGCUGGACUCCUCCAGAUUCACAGCCACCGUCCACUUGGGUAGCUGCCUUGUCGACAAGUCCAGGGGUCAGAAGCUUGAUCCAGAGUACCUGAGGAGGCAGUACUCCUACGCCGAACAAGCCGACAUGAUGGUUUCAUCCAGCGUGUUCACUGAAUCACCUCUGGACCGUGUCAGACUCAAAGUUCAGGCUUUAUUCAAUGUUUCACAUCCCUGAACUAAAUAUCCACCUGUCUGCCUCAACAGCCAUAGAUCGUUAAUAUAAUGGACAGACCUUUCUUGACGUCACCCAUUGCGUUCCCAAAUGCCGUUCUGCAGACUUCAGCGAGUCCAGCAGGACGUCUCCAUAUUGAACAUUUGAAACCGGAUGUAAAUGUGAUUGGUCCAGCCCGUCACGUGACCGGAUCACGUGGGCAGA